rnacentral:lncRNA from 1 species
GAGUAGAGCGCACGAUCUGCAGAUUCACAAGACCACUGUAAGCCUCCAUGGAGGCUAGGGAAUUAAAUAUGUCAACUAUAUAGCACAAGAAACAUAAAAAGACCUUUAAUCUCCAUUUAAUCUUUAGAUACUUUGCACAUAUCAUCAUGGCAGAUGAGGUUUGAAAAUGAACUAUUCAUUCACAGCAGCCUCUGUUGGCCUGCUACUCUGGUGUGUUCAAUGCCACAUUGUACACUAUAAGAUCCAUGUGAAUUCAAGACAAUUGGAAAGGUAAAACUAGAGAUAUGUCGUCUAUGCUUGUCUGCUUUCAAAAAGAGACGAACCAACACAACAAGAAUGAAAUGAUAAUUUGCUACCAUGUUAUGCUUCAAGAACCUGGGUCUUCUAUACUUGCAAAUGAACCUCAAGGUCCUAUUUAAGGGGCAUAUACCAGUUUAUCUAUAGCUGGUCUCAGUUCCCAAAGAUGAUAAAAUGUUGAAGAAAAGAAACAGCUAGACAAGAAAUAUAGAAGAUUUAUAGAGAAUAACCAUAACCAUCAAGCUUUACCCUGGGGUCAUUAAAGAAGGCUUAGAGUGAAUAUUGAAGAGAAAUAAUACAAGAGGAGGAAGAAGGAAAUGGUGAUUUUUUUGAUCAAAAAAGAAAACAGAGGGUUUGAAGAGGAAAUACCACAUUCAUGGGGCAUGCAUCUUACAAUAGUAGGCUAAGGAUUUAGGGCAGAAGUUACUAAAAUUUUGUACCUCAUAUGUUGAUGGUCACUCUAAUCAUAGGUAAACUACUAUCACUCUAAUCACACCCAAAACCUAUCAGUAAAUUAAGUGAAGUUAGGACAUAAUAUUUAGAAUGGUUUUUAGCACCAAACAAUGCCGGUCUAUUGCGGGCUUUCCAACUCAGUGAUAGGGAACUGAUGCUUGGUACACCACUCAUACUGAGUAUCGGUACCAAGAACCAGACUGCACCAAUACUAUAUCAGUCGGGUACAUAGUCUGCCGUACCGGUCGGUACGGGUCGGUAUCGGCUAGUACAUACCGGUACCGGACCCUACCGAUACGGUACAGCUACAUAUUUCGGUACCGAACCAUACCGACCGGUACCGAUGCGUACCGGCUUGUACCGACCGGUACUGAUGCGUACCGGCCUGUACCGAUCCGGUACCGAUGCGUACCGAUGCAUACCGACACGUACCGAUGCCGUACCGGCCUGUACCGAUCCGGUACCGACCCAAACCGACCAGUCCGUACCGGCUCCAAAUUUUUUUGGCUUUUAGCCCCAUCGGUAUAGUACCGGUUCGGCUCGGUUUGGUUCGGUACCGUACCGGUACCGAGGCCCAUCGGUACGUCGGUACAGUCGGUACCGCGUACCUUGGUUGGGUACUUGUACAGGUACCGAAACCUGUACUAUAAACCUUGUUAUUAAGUACAAGAUAUAUGAUUUUCUUUUUAGUGUGAAAUGAAAGCUAUUCAGUGUUCUAGCAAUUUUCUAACUUAAUAAAUAAAAAUCUGACCCGUUAUGGAAACUUAACAUUUGGAGACAUCCUGAAAUUCUAAAGUUCUGUAGCUGACUCUGUGAACUUGAAGUUUGUUAAGUAAAAAUUUAAUAAAAUGAAAAUGAAGGUGUUGUAGUCAAACAUGCAUAGCUUUUCAGGGUCUUAAAUUGCAUCUUCAGCCACAUGUCAAUUGUUAGGAGCUUACGGAUAAAAAAGUGAAGCCUGGAAUGCUUAAGAUAUAUCAGCUUCACAUACAUUCAGCAAGAUAAAACAAAUAAAUGAACCAAUAUGCUCGAAAUCUCUUGUUUGUCAUCUUUGCCUAUGGUUUGGUCUUUGGCUGGGGAGUGGACCACUCACUUGACCGUGGUAGAGACCCAAGUGCUGUGCUGGUCCAUAGGUUGAUUAGAUCCUCUCCUUAAAAACCCUCUCUUACCCACACACAUUUUUUUUAACUCUUCCAUCUCUCUUAAACUCAUCAUCAAGAUUUUUUUUAAAGACAACACGUGCUAUCAAAUUUUUAACCAUAACCAAUCACGAAGUACCUGUCUCAUCUCACUUUGAGAUUUAUUGAUCUUUUUCAGCCAUUCUGAAUUGUGAAAGACUAUGAUCUCUGUAAAUUGAUACAAUGCGAAGUGUGAUCUGUCCAAACUAAUGUAAUUGGAAUAUAUGGUCAUACUUGUAUGAAUACGUCAAAUAUGUUAGUGACAAAUAGCUCUUUAACCUCGAGGUCAUGUCUCAAUUUUCCUGUCAUGUAGCAUUUGCUAGUUUCAUUUUCUUCAAAUCUCGUCAUGUUCUGAAAACAUUUAUCCAAUUGCAAUGGAUGUUGGACUGUUGGUUAUAAGCUCGUGCUUACUUUCUAUGAAGCAAGCAGCAAACACAAUGAUAUCUUUCAUAGUUGCAGCAUCUUUGCGUUCAACAAGAGAUACAUUGUCUUUUGCUGUUACAAAAUUAAGAUGCUUAUGGUUCUAUUUACUUGUUUUUCUUAGUCUCUGGAUUCUUCUUUCUUCGUAUUUCUUGGUCAUAAAUCUUCACUAAGGUUUGUCUCGGUCUGUGACUAUUAACCUGUUUCUUCUUAUGUCUGAGCAGUCAUGUUUUGUGGGGUUCUGCUGUGCUCUUUUUACUUUUUAAUGUCAAGGGUGAGUCACUCUCAGAGUGUUUAAUCAUCUUUAUUGACCCACAUAUAUUUCAGUUUUUUGCAUUAACAACGUUAUUUUGCUCACAGGAUGGCACACAAUGUUCAUCAUUUCCGUUAUGCCCCUGAUUGUAAGGAACUUAAUGAAUAAAAUUGAUUUUCCCCAUUUUCCGUAGACCCAGUUUUCUUAUCAUGUGAUUGUUUAUGCAGAUAAUAUUGGCAAUUGGGACAAAGCUGCAGGCUAUCAUCACAAGAAUGGCUGUUGAAAUCCAAGAGAGACAUGCAGUGAUUCAGGGAAUUCCUCUUGUGCACCUCAGUGACCAUCAUUUUUGGUUUGGUCGUCCUCAGCUUGUUCUGUUUCUAAUUCAUUUUACAUUAUUUCAGGUACAUGAUUCAUCUCCUAUGUUUUCUAAGUUUUGUUUCUACUCAUCACAUUACAUACAUACAUACACAUUACAUAUAUUUAUGAGAGAGUGUGGACUUUGCUCUUCUAGAGAGGAGAGGGUAUCUUCUCCUCUCAAGUCCAAAAUAAAUAAUGGAGCAUCCAAAUUGAAAGUCCAUACUACUGAUCAUGAUCCAUAGUAUUUGUAUGGCACCAUCCAAGGGGAUGGGCAUGCCAGAAAACUUGUAUGCAUAAAUCAGAUGGCAAGGGGUAGCCAUAUGUGCGGGCAUGCCACCUUAGAGCAGCUGGAAAUAUAAUGAUCGAAAGGAGGAUAUAUGAGAGUAGUGUGGGUCUUAGUGCCUUGACCUUCAAGGACUUUCACUACCAUCACACCACCAUUUGAAGAAGAUGGAUCUGGAUAGGGAUAGUAAUGUAGCUUGAGCUAUAGUAGUAGAAAUCUAGGUUAACACUAUUUUAAGAUAGAAAGCUACUAGUAAGCUAAAAUAAGAUAAAAUACAUUGAUUUAAAUUGUCGAAGUGUCUUACAAAGUACAAUUCCACUUAUUUUACUAAAAGAUAAUAAUUGCCCACUUUGACGGUUGCUACUUACAUCGGGCCUCUACUUCCGACGGUUCUGGUAAUUGACACCAGCCAUUCUCCCACUAUGUAUGUUCGUUAGCAUAGUUAUUUUGCAUCAACUGUCAGGCCGAUAAUCAUAUCUUUUCGGUCUUGAUCUACUCAGACGUUUUAUAUUGGCCAUCUCUCUUUUAUUUGGCCAUAAUAUGGUCUUCUACACUUUGGAAAUAUCUUAGGAGUCGAUUUGGUCAUCUCGGUCUACUUUUGCUAGCCAUCCAACUAAAUACACAUUGUAUUGUAAUUGAGCUAUCGUCCAGCUCAUCAGCAUCAUGGCUGAAUUUUACCUCUUUGGUCUGUACCACCAUCGGUAAGGUUUAUCAUGGCCAGACCUUAUCUCGCCCAGCAAGGGUUGCAUGAUUUCCAUCUGCUUUUACCUUGUCAAACCUUAUCCACAUGGUGUUUACUCAUGGUCUCUAGCUAAGUUGUUGAGAUGGGGUGUAAACAGUAUUAAAAAUGCUUAGAAACUAAAAAUCAUGUAUUUUGUCAGAUAGAUAUCAUUGACCAUCUUUAAAAACUGAUGACAUAUUGCUGUCUGAUUGUUGGACAAGCCUUGCCACUAGAUCAAUACCAUAGUGUUUUGGUUUAGUUUUCAGAUCCAAGACUCCUGUUAUGGUUGCAUUUGAAACUUGCUAGAGUAUAACAAUUCAAACCACUUCUUGAUGGAUAUAUAGUGGUUGAAAGUCUUUCUUUUAACUUUUCUUCGUUACUUAUAGAUUUUGAGAGUAUAAACUUGGGAUUUUUUCUUGAUUUUUCGUCAUUACUUAUAGAUCCUGAGAGUAUAAACUUGGGAUUUUUUCUUGAUUUUUUUUCUUGAUUUCAUACAUCCUUACAGCAAAUGUUUACAAUAGCUUGGUGUAAUACAAAGGUGUUUACGUUAUCAAAUUGAUGAGGAAUAUGUUACUUAAGGCAUUAGAUUUUUGGAAUUCACAUUACGACGAAGGAGAAAACCGAAAAGUGAAAACAUGUGGGAAAUAAUUAGCCAUGAUUUGAUUUUUGUUUUUGGACUUGGAAACUUUAACGUCUUUUAGUCAAUCCUAUUGUUUUCUAGCUGUAGAAAUAAUAAAUGCACAUGUUGUAUGAUCUUCUCACUUAUUUGAGCUAAUUUUGUUUCUUUACCCCAUUAAAUUUUAAUUUCUCCCUUGGUAUUCAUAUCUCAUUGCAUUUUUUUAAAUUUUUCUGGGUUUUAUAAUGCUUUUGUAUGUUUACACAGUUUUGGCACCUACUUUUGCAAUAUUCAUUUUCAGCUGAUUCUGCAACUCAAUUCAGUGUACCUCUUCAAGUUCAUCUCACCCCAUUCCUCAACUCCCUCUGCUAAUUUUUCCCUUUUAGGACCUGUUUCGGAACUUCUUGCUGGAUUUGGUAGGCUCGGCUAGAGAGAGAGUGUGGGGAAGGAAGGGAGGGAGCGCGAGAGCAGGACAGGAGAAUAUAGGGUCCCACAGGAUCAAAAGAAAACAAAAAAGUCUUUGAGAGUCAUCUUUUUCUUGAUACGCGGGGAGCGGACUGCCUAACAUCCAGCCCUCCCUUCCUCCUUUCCCAUUCCCUCCCUUCACCUAGCACCCCAAUCCUACCCUAUCCCACUGGAUCUAGCCAAAGAAGCCCUUAUAUUCUCCUUAGUUUCUUUGGACCCUACAUCAUCUUACUUGUCUUCAGAGUUCAGGCUUCUCCAUCAGAGCUUUCCUUGGGUACUCUUUCCCACUUAGGCUUAUUCAAGGUGAGACACUAACCAUGUCUGUUGUUCCUGUUUUGCAUCUCACUUUUCUUGAGUCAGCUUUGAUGUAUUUCUGCUUGACAGAGCAAUCAGGGUAUCUUUCAUCUCCUCAUUUUUCAGAUUUUAGCCUUUGAUCCACCUACUGUUAGUGGUCCAUUGUUAUAUCAAGUUAUUGGAUUUUGCUAUCUGUUAUUGGAUCAACUUAAAAUACUUGCUAAAGAUUGGCCUUCAAAUGUGGUCCCCCUGGAUUGUCUUAGCUUCACAUUUAGCUAGUGCUCUGAUUAGGCUUACAAACCAAAUAAAGCACCUAUGAUUUGCUUGUUUAUGAAGAAUUUCCAGAGGUGAAUCUGCAGAAUAUAAACAAAGAUGGAAAUGGCAUUGUAAUCAGAUGGUGGAACUUGGUAGUAGAUGAAAAGAUCUUCUGUGGUUAGUCUCCUUGUUUGAUUGUAAGGUUAAAAAUAUUGGGACUGUACUCCGAUACCAUAAACAUUGAGUAGGGGGGUGGAUAACAUUUCUUAAGCAUAUUAUACAGGUGGCAUGUGAUUACAAAGAACUUGCCCUAUGAGCAUGAUACCAAGUUAAAAGGUGUCUGUGUAGAUAUGCAAACUUCUGGCUAUGCAAUCCACAUAUGUUCAUACUUAAGACUGGGUUUUUGCGCAAGUAUAAAGAUGUAUAUUAUGAGUUUGAUAUUUAUUUGCUUUUACAAGCUACUAUGUUAAUUAUCUCUACUGAACUCUAAUGCAAACAUUGUAAAUAAAAUAUGCUUUAACUCUGAUGUCCUAUAGGUUAAAGGAAAUAUUGAAGAAACAAAUUUUAAUCGCUUUCCAUCAUAUAAAUCAGACCUUAACUUUGAUACUAUUUCUUCAGUGAAUACACUGUUGUCCUAACCUUUUUUUUUGUCCUAUGAGAUGAAUUGAAAAGCAUUUUGAUAAAUUUGUUAUAAUGUCUUCGAAAAGCAUUUGAAGUGUGUCCUUUUUUACAUUGAUGCAGAAUGCAUUCGAAUUAAUAUAUUUUCUUUGGAUUUGGGUAAGGCUUUGCUUCCUCACUUUUUUAGUAUUUCUCCGUUUUGCAUGUGGUGAUUAUUAUAUUUACUUUAGCUUUCUUCAAGCUAAUGCUCAAUCUGUCCUUGGCAGUAUGAGUUUGGGUUGAAUUCCUGCUUCCAUGAAAAUAAUAAGGUCAUCGCUGUAAGAGUGUGUCUUGGGUAAGUUUGAUAUAAAUGUUUUUCUUUUCCCUGGCCAUAAUUGAACUUAAACUUUAUUUUAGUUGCCAUUUUUCUCCUGAAGGAUAAAGCAAUUGUUUGCUUUAUAUGGGACUGCUAAUACAGAAUGACUUGUCAUUGUAUAAUUUUAGAAACAUCUAUAAGUUUUAUUUAUUUGGUGUUUGCAUAAAUAAUAUAAUUCGGAAUUAUAUAAUAGAGUGUCCAGCAAUUUUAAAAGGAUGUUCUAAGUAUUAUCUUAAUGGAAUACUCGAAAAGAAUAUUUUCACUAACAUUCAAUGACUAUUUAGCACUACUCAUUAAUGCAUGUAGGUCAUUUCAUAGAGUUUGUGUGCUUGUGUGUAUUUGUGACUGUAUUUAAUGCAUGUAGGUACCUGCGGGCACAUAGGAUGCUUCAGAUGCUUAAAAAGAGCAGCUGGCUUUAUCUUGUCUCUCAGAAAUAAAGCGCAACAAGUUAUCUAUUUAUGAUUGUGGCUCAAUAAAUUUGAUGUUGAUGUCUUUGGCCUACCAAUAUGCUCAAGUUAGUAAGGCUCUGUAAGAUAAAAGAUACCUGAGAUAUUUUUAGUUUUUAUAAUUGAAUUAGAGAGGGUGGGUGAAUCCUCUAUGCACUGAUUAACCACUGCAUGGUUCUUGUGUGCACUUUGAAACUUAGCAGAAAGAUUCGGUAGUAACAACUUUUGUAACCUCGAGCUGUAAGAUCCAUUUUCUGUAGAAAAUGAACAUAAAGCAAAAAUCUGUUAGAACAAAUGUCAUGCUGAACAAUGUAAUGUGGAAUAGGAAACAAGCUCGUGACAUUGGUAAACAAUGGAGUGUUAUAAAUCAGAUUAAGAUAGUUGGAUAUAUUCAUAAAAUUUCGUAGCCAGCCUGAGUAAGGGUCAGACUCUGGUCUAAAUAGCAAGUAUUUAAACCAUAUGAAGGAUUUAGAUGUGUUAAACAAAUGAUUAUAAGAUGCUUCCUGUGAUGAUAGGCAUGAUAUUGACAUGUACAGCAGCAAGGUAAGGUGUGGCCUGCUGAGUCUGCAUAUUGUUGAAUUAUGAUUGUUUUGGGGGUUUUGUGCAGAGUGGGAGUUCAAUUUGUAUGCAGCUACGUUACGCUUCCUCUUUAUGCACUUGUAUCUCAGGUAUUCUUUUAUACAUUUAUUUUUCCUUGUAUCAAUUUUCAAUUUCAGGAAUGGCUGGAUACCAUAUACUAAGUAUAUACAUUCUCCUACUUAAAUUCAUGAAAUGGUUGAAGGAGAAACUGGCAAUUUACUAUCGUUCUUCAUGUGGGUUGCUCAUGAAGAUAUUAACUAUUGCUUUAACAGAGUUAAUCUGAUGAAAAUGAAGUAGUCUGCAUGUUAAGCAAUACCAUUGUUAAAUGCACAUCUCAGAAACAAUGAAGGCUUUAAAUUCUGACAUGGAACAUUUUCUUCUUGCUCCAGAUGGGUUCCCACAUGAAGAAGUCCAUUUUCGAUGAGCAGACAUCCAAGGCCCUCAAGAAAUGGCACCACGAGGCAGUGAAGAAGAAGAACCCACCAAAGAACUCACCGAACUCCCCCCCGAGGUCCCCAUCUACAAGUCCAAGAGCAAGCCAAAAUCCAGCCUGCAAAACUAUGAGGAGCAUAUCCCUAACUCCUUCUGGGAGGAGGCAGUACUCAGACCCAGAUGCAUUAGCUGCUAAAGCUGAAGCACCGUACUCGUCAUCAACCACCACCAUGGUUUCAACUGUAAAUAAUACCGACCUGCUAACUGGAUCAACCGAACACCAUCAGAACGGCAAGCAAGAUGAGUUCUCAUUGGUAAAUCUUACGGAUCCAUAAUGGUGCAUGUAAUACAGUGAUUUUGUGCUUUCUAGGUUUCCUAUGAUUUGUUAGAUAAGUUUUGGUGUUUGAUGCUUGUAAGAGAAAUGUGUAUUUAUUUGGACAUACUGACUGGUGUAAUAGAAUACAUUUCACAGAAUUUUGAAGUUGAAUUGGAGAGAUUCUUUGGUAGUUUAAUCUGUCUGAGUAUAAUCAAUUGAAAUCCUAGGUGUUUGCCAUACAAAACUAGCUCAGAAGGGUAAGGUUGGGCAGCCAUUAGGAAGUUCAACCCUACCAUUGAUGUGCAGAUAAAAAGAGCAUAACUGACUAAACUGGAAAAAGGGUUGAGACUUCAAGGAAAUCGGUAUCCUCAAUUUGUUCGACAAAGAGAUAUGGUUGUGGUGGCUGAUAGGCCUGGCAUCAAAGGUGUGGCUGAUUACGAGUUGUCCAUGAUCUUGUUGAUCAGCUUUCUUUUUAGGCUUAAAUUUACAAACAUUAAGGGGACAUACAAAUUAGCAUGUCCACAACCUUGAGAUAUUGAUUCACUGGCUCAGCCACCAGCUGGCUAAAGUAAAUAGAAUCAAUUUUUCACAUACAUUCCUUGCCUGAUAACUUUUUUUGUUGACAGCACCGAGCCAUUAGCUGGGGAAAUUCCCUUGCUAAAAAGUUUUGUUUCUUAUGAGCUCGGAUCUUAAAUCUUCUGCAGCAUUAACAUUAUAAGCAUCGAUGUUAGGUUCUUUGCCAGCAUUGUUUUGUGAUAAUGAUUGGUGGAAUCACCUUGCCCCUGUUCUUCUUUAGUGAUGAUUGGCUGAAUGACUUGUUUAGUAAUUAAGAUACCUAUCCCUACAGAAAAAAUAUAUAAAUGUUCCAAACUAAAUAUUGAAUUUAUAGAGAUUAAUAUAGUGGGACAUAUCAAUUUGAAUGGAAUAAGAUAAUAAGAGCUGAAACCUCUCUUUAGUAUAAUACAAAGUCUUGUGUCCCUGACUGACCAAGUGGAAGAAAGAAACAAGACUUCUCAGCACGUCUGAGAUGGGGAGUUGCCACCGCUGCAAAGUUCGAUCCAAAGCAUGACUAGGUUCGGUCUUGGUGUCACUAUGAUUCUCCUCUCGUUCUUCGUCUCAACCUCGUCCCUCAUUUUUGAAUGCCGCUUGGUAUAAGACGCGAGACCGUCGAAAUCAAAAAGACUAUGUCUCUCUUCAGCAUUCCAUCGAAUAGAUGUCGUGCUUCGCUGCCUACCACUCUUCUCACAGGCAGAGAGCCUGAGAAUAUUGCAUCCUGGCAAGCGAGGACGACAGCAGUGAGGGAGGUGGAGUUCGCCGGAGAUCCGGCACGGCCGCCGGAUGAUUAGGAUAUGCGGAGCGGCUGCACGCGUAGAAAGAAACCAG